GCCCCUACCGCCCCGCUCACACUCUGCACAGACCCUGCACUACAGACCCAACAUUACAGACCCUGCGUUACAGACCCUCUACUACAGACACAACAUUACAGACCCUAUGCUACAGACCCUGCAUUACAGACACAACAUUACUGACCCUACGCUACAGACCCUGCACUACAGACACAACAUUACUGACCCUACGCUACAGACCCUGCACUACAGACCGAACACUACAGACACAACAUUACAUACCCUAUGCUACAGACCCUGCAUUACAGACCGAACACUACAGACACUGCGUUAGACACAACACUACAGACCCAACAUUACUUACCCAAUGCUACAGACACAACACUACAGACCCAACAUUACUUACCCAAUGCUACAGACACAACAUUACCGACCCUACGCUACAAACCCUGCACUACAGACACAACAUUACUGACCCUACACUACAGACCCUGCACUACAGACACAACAUUACUGACCCUAUGCUACAGACCCUGCACUACAGACACAACAUUACAGACCCUACGCUACAGACCCUGCACUACAGACACAACAUUACUGACCCUACACUACAGACUCUGCACUACAGACACAACAUUACUGGCCCUAUGCUACAGACCCUGCACUACAGACCGAACACUACAGACCCUGCGUUACAGACACAACAUUACAGACCCUGCGUUACAGACAGAACGCUACAGACCCAACAUUACUUACCCAAUGCUACAGACACAACAUUACCGACCCUACGCUACAGACCCUGCGUUACAGACACAUUACUGACCCAACGCUACAGAACAUGCACUACAGACUGAACACUACAGACCCUGCGUUACAGACCGAACACUACAGACCCUGCAUUACAGACCGAACACUACAGACCCAACAUUACAGACACAACACUACGGACCCGGUGUUACAAACCCUGCGUUACAGACCCUACUCUGCAGUCCCAGCGCUACAGACCCUGUAAUGUAGUGGGUGGAGCUUCUGUUUACUGCGAGGUGGUCUGUGAUGUAAUUAGUGGGUGGAGCCUCUGUUUACUGUGAGGUGGUCUGUGAUGUAAUGUAGUGAGUAGAGCCUCUGUUUACUGUGAGGUGCUCUGUGAUGUAAUGUAGUGGGUGGAGCCUCUGUUUACUGUGAGGUGGUCUGUGAUGUAAUGUAGUGGGUGGAGCCUUUGUUUUCUGUGAGGUGCUCUGUGAUGUAAUGUAGUGGGUGGAGCCUUUGUUUUCUGUGAGGUGCUCUGUGAUGUAAUUUAGUGGGUGGAGCCUCUGUUUUCUGUGAGGUGCUCUGUGAUGUAAUUUGGUGAGUGGAGCUUCUGUUUACUGUGAGGAGGUCUGUGAUGUAAUGUAGUGGGUGGAGCCUCUGUUUACUGUGAGGUGGUCUGUGAUGUAAUGUAGUGGGUGGAGUCUUUGUUUUCUGUGAGGUGCUCUGUGAUGUAAUUUAGUGGGUGGACCCUCUUCUGUUCACUAAGGGGUUUUUUUUUUUGGAUCUGUCCUAUGAGAAUCUACUUCCUCCUCACUGGGCCCUAAUGGAUUUAGUUAGUGUAUUUGUCAUUUGAUUAUCCAGGAGACACACAGAACAUAGAUCUCUUUCACAGGAGGAAAAAAAAAAGAUAAUUCCCCCCCCGCGAUGGGAUGUGUAACGGGCCUGCCCUGUGCGAGCCCGUACCCCCCCGUUGUGCGCUGUAGUGGAUCGGUCCUCUGUGUGUUUGAAGGAGCCGGGUGUAUCGAGGCCAGCUUCCUGCGAUGGGCUUCAUUCCAGCGAUUCGGGGCCGUUGAGUUAUUCUUUAAUCUGUAACUCAUUCUUGUAGCGUCAAAGGGGAGUUAUUUUUCCUGUAGGGCGAGCUUCUGUGUAUCCUGAUCUCAUCAAGAAGUCAUUACUACCCCGAUAGUCAUUCUGAUAUACAGCAGAUUAGCAAAAUUUAAUAAGAGGGAGAGAGGGAGGGAAAGAGAUGGUAAUUAUGUUGAUGAAUUGGACCUUUGCACAUGGAUUAUUAUAUAUAAUUAGUUGCAAAGAAAUGAUUCCUAUAUUAGUUAUUUAUUUGUGGCAUUUUCAAUAGGGGGUUGUGUGGGUGAAGAAAAUGGCCACUGGUGUGGAACAUCCCAUGAAUAUUCCUGUCUCUAAUGGCUCUUUAUUCAUUGGCCUUGUGAAGAUGCUAAAAUGGCUUCCUAGAAAAGGCCUCUGCUGAUCAAAUUCUUCCUGCACACUCAAAGGGGCGGUCCAGUCAAAAAUCGCUCGGUUCUCACCUUAAGAACAGUUCAUGUCUCUCAUUUCUAAUGUGUGACACAAGAAAGCCCCGCCCUCAAGCAAUGAUGUCAUCCUUUCUGACACUGUAGAGAACGGAUUUAGACAGCUGAGGAGGCUGCAGGUCAGUUUAAACUAAAACAAAACUGAACCUUCCGUUAUAUCUUAAUAAUUAUUACAAUGGAAACUGAAGAAGCGUACAUGAAAAUCGAUUUUUUGCAUUGAAAAGAUAUCUCCAUUCACUUAAGAAAAUGAAGAGUUGUGUUUAUUAAAAAAACUUAUUUUAGUUUGUUUUUGCAAAGGGGACCAAGAAAAGCCAGUCGAGCUGGGUUCAUAUACUGAAACAGGACCACAGAUCUCCAUUACCCGCUCUGAGCACAGAGGAGAUUAUCAACCACCAAAA